rnacentral:rRNA from 1 species
CAGUCGCCACGGUAAUACGGAGGGGGCUAGCGUUAUUCGGAAUUACUGGGCGUAAAGCGCACGUAGGCGGAUCAGAAGUCAGAGGUGAAAUCCCAGGGCUCAACCUUGGAACUGCCUUUGAAACUCCUGAUCUUGAGGUCGAGAGAGGUGAGUGGAAUUCCGAGUGUAGAGGUGAAAUUCGUAGAUAUUCGGAGGAACACCAGUGGCGAAGGCGGCUCACUGGCUCGAUACUGACGCUGAGGUGCGAAAGCGUGGGGAGCAAACAGGAUUAGAGACCCCCGUAGUCCCUGUCUCUUAUACA